UUAAAAACGCUCCUCACCAAAAUUCCAUGGCCGAGGAGGAUGAUGUCCCUGAUCAGAACCCUAGGUUCUUCGUGGCGGUGCACGUCGGCGCUCACGUGCCGCCGAACGAGAAAGCUCUCAGGUCCGCCAUGAAACGUGCCUGCCUCGCUGCUGCUUCUGUUCUUCGCAAGGAUGAUCCAAGCACAAAUGCUGGGAUUGGCUCAAAUUUGACUGAAGAGGUCACGUGGAAUGCGAUGCCAGUAUCAUGGAUGGUGAUUAUGGGGCAUUUGGGGCUGUUGGAGCGGUGCUAGCUUCUUGGUUGGUAAAGGUGCACGUAUGUGGGCAAAAUCCAAGGGUAUUUCUUGGCUGACAGGUAUACUGGAGGCUGAUGAGUGGCUGGUUACAGAGAGGGUAAAAAGACAUUGGGACAAAUACAAAUCAAUGCUUGAUGAUGCAGAAGCCAUGAAAGCAGAAAUUGAUGGAGAACUUUCUUCUAGCACUCAAGAGGAUGCUGCUGUAUCAGAGUUCUACUAUGUGAUCAUUUGAACACAAAUGGAGAUCAUGGUCAAUUAUGUACGUUGAAUGUGGAGAUGACUGCAUUAUGGACACUGUUGGGGUUAUUUGUGUUGACACUGAAGGACAUAUAGCAUCUGGAGCUUCACAUGGUGGCAUUGCACUGAAGGUCGCAGGCAGGUCUGGGCUCUGCUUGCAUGAAAGUUUUACGCUCUGUUAUGCCAGAUAGUAGCCAGCACGGUAUUGAUAAAAGUGCCCGAACUCUAGUUGUUUAAGCCAAGGCUCCUAUAACACUUCCCUGGACUUCACCUAAGCUGAAACCUAUAGAGAUUGCAGCAGCCUACACUUCCCUGUCUUUUGGAAUAGGUUAUUUUGGAAGCUCUAUGGAGCGGCCCAAGGGCUUAAUUCUUAGGACUACAAAAUAGCAAAAUAGGACUGGCAUAGACCAGUUUGCCACACGAAUUGAUGUUAGUGAAAGUAAAGGAUAAAAUGCCCUGUGUGCUAAGAUUUUGAUAAGAAAUUUAAAAUUUGGAAGUAAAUCAAAUUGGUUUAAUUGUUUUCUUCUUUCGAGUGACUUGUCAUGUUUCAAAUGGUCAAGUAAGGCAAACCUUAAACCUGAAAGACGUUC